rnacentral:rRNA from 1 species
CCUACGGGUGGCAGCAGUGAGGAAUAUUGGUCAAUGGACGCAAGUCUGAACCAGCCAUGCCGCGUGCAGGAAGACGGCUCUAUGAGUUGUAAACUGCUUUUGUCUGAGGGUAAACUCAGAUACGCGUGUCUGUCUGAAAGUAUUGUACGAAUACGGAUCGGCUAACUCCGUGCCAGCAGCCGCGGUAAUACGGAGGAUUCGAGCGUUAUCCGGAUUUAUUGGGUUUAAAGGGUGCGUAGGGGGGAGGUUAAGUGAGAUGUGAAAUCCUGAGGCUCAACUGCGGAAUUGCCCUUGAUACUGGUCGUCUAGAGAAGAGUUGCGGUAGGCGGAAUGUGUGGUGUAGCGGUGAAAUGCUUAGAUAUCAUACAGAACUCCGAUUGCGAAGGCAGCUUACCAAGCUACUACUGACGUUGAUGCACGAAAGCGUGGGGAGCAAACAGGAUUAGAUACCCGAGUAGUC